GCCACUGCUAUUGGAAUGCGACUAAGCCAUGCGAGUCAAGGGGCUCUUUGGAGCACCGGCGUACGGCUCAGUAACAUGUGGGUAACCUACCCUCAGGUGGGAGAUAACCUCGGGAAACUGAGGCUAAUAUCCCAUAGAUAAAAGAUACUGGAAUGUUUUUUUAUCGAAAACUCUUGUGCCUGAGGAUGGGCCUGCGCCCGAUUAGGUUGUUGGUGAGGUAAUGGCUCACCAAGCCUACGAUCGGUACGGGUCGUGAGAGCGAUAGCCCGGAGAUGGGGACUGAGACAAGGCCCCAGGCCCUACGGGGCGCAGCAGGCGCGAAAUCUCUCCAAUGUGUGAAAACAUGAGAGGGGUACUCCAAGUGCCCUUGCUUUGCAAGGGAUUUUCUUUGGUCCAAGACGCCGAAGGAAUAAGAGCUGGGUAAGACCGGUGCCAGCCGCCGCGGCAACACCGGCAGCUCGAGUGGUGGCCACUAUUAUUGGGCCUAAAGCGUUCGUAGCCGGGCAGGUAAGUGCUCUGGUAAAUCCCAUAACUUAAUUAUGGGGCUUCAGAACAUACUGCUUGCCUUGAGACCGGGAGAGGCUGGAGUACUUUCGGGGUAGGGGUAAAAUCCUAUAAUCCCGAAGGGACCACCGGUGGCGAAGGCGUCCAGCCAGAACGGGUCUGACGGUGAGGGACGAAACCCAGGGGAGCGAGUCGGAUUAGAUACCCGGGUAGUCCUGGGCGUAAAUGAUGUGGGCUAGGUGCAAAGCUACCUAAGCGGUAGCUUGGAGCCGAUGGGAAGCCGUUAAGCCCACCGCCUGGGGAGUACGGUCGCAAG
rnacentral:rRNA from 1 species